CGAGGGGCAGCAUGAUUGAAGCUUGCUUCAAUUGAUGGCGACCGGCGCACGGGUGAGUAACGCGUAUCCAACCUUCCGUACACUCAGGGAUAGCCUUUCGAAAGAAAGAUUAAUACCCGAUGGUAUGAUGAGAUUGCAUGAUAGCAUCAUUAAAGAUUUAUCGGUGUACGAUGGGGAUGCGUUCCAUUAGGUAGUAGGCGGGGUAACGGCCCACCUAGCCGACGAUGGAUAGGGGUUCUGAGAGGAAGGUCCCCCACAUUGGAACUGAGACACGGUCCAAACUCCUACGGGAGGCAGCAGUGAGGAAUAUUGGUCAAUGGACGAGAGUCUGAACCAGCCAAGUAGCGUGAAGGAUGAAGG
rnacentral:rRNA from 1 species